rnacentral:rRNA from 1 species
UACAGAGGUCUCAAGCGUUGUUCGGAUUCAUUGGGCGUAAAGGGUGCGUAGGUGGCUGGGUAAGUCAGGUGUGAAAUCUCGGAGCUCAACUCCGAAACUGCACUUGAUACUGCCUGGCUCGAGUACUGGAGAGGAGAUUGGAAUUUACGGUGUAGCAGUGAAAUGCGUAGAUAUCGUAAGGAAGACCAGUGGCGAAGGCGAAUCUCUGGACAGUUACUGACGCUGAGGAGCGAAAGCGUGGGGAGCGAACAGG